AGAGUUUGAUCCUGGCUCAGGAUGAACGCUGGCUACAGGCUUAACACAUGCAAGUCGUGGGGAAACGGCAUUAUGUGCUUGCACAUUCUGGACGUCGACCGGCGCACGGGUGAGUAUCGCGUAUCCAACCUGCCCCUUACUUGGGGAUACCCCGUUGAAAGACGGCCUAAUACCCGAUGUGUUUCAUUGACGGCAUCCGAUAUGAAACAAAGGUUUUCCGGUAAGGGAUGGGGAUGCGUCUGAUUAGCUAGUUGGCGGGGCAACGGCCCACCAAGGCGACGAUCAGUAGGGGUUCUGAGAGGAAGGUCCCCCACAUUGGAACUGAGACACGGUCCAAACUCCUACGGGAGGCAGCAGUGAGGAAUAUUGGUCAAUGGACGCAAGUCUGAACCAGCCAAGUAGCGUGCAGGAUGACGGCCCUAUGGGUUGUAAACUGCUUUUAUGCGGGGAUAAAGUGGCCCACGUGUGGGCUUUUGCAGGUACCGCAUGAAUAAGGACCGGCUAAUUCCGUGCCAGCAGCCGCGGUAAUACGGAAGGUCCGGGCGUUAUCCGGAUUUAUUGGGUUUAAAGGGAGUGUAGGCGGUCUGUUAAGCGUGUUGUGAAAUUUAGGUGCUCAACAUUUAACUUGCAGCGCGAACUGUCAGACUUGAGUACACGCAGCGCAGGCGGAAUUCAUGGUGUAGCGGUGAAAUGCUUAGAUAUCAUGAGGAACUCCGAUCGCGAAGGCAGCCUGCGGGAGUGUUACUGACGCUUAAGCUCGAAGGUGCGGGUAUCGAACAGGAUUAGAUACCCUGGUAGUCCGCACAGUAAACGAUGGAUGCCCG
rnacentral:rRNA from 1 species